AUGCGCAGAUUGAAGCUGAGUGAUGAUAAAAAUGAGCUCACUUUGGCAUCAGUUCUUCAGGGUUUCUUCGAUGCAGUCACCCUUUUGCUGAGGAGCUAUGUUGACAAAGAGAAACAGAUAAUUCGCGGCGUUUUCUCACCCCGGGAGAUGGAAAUGCCUGCAAGAACAUUCUUGAAUUGGUACAAAAGAGUAGAUGACACUGCAUAUGAAUUCAACACGUGA